ACACUGCACCCAGAUCACUUCAGUAAGAUGAAAUGGUUUGGGUGUCUAUAGUGUCCCCAGACCACUUCAGCUAAUUGAAGUAGUCUGGGUGCUGUGACCCUUUU